rnacentral:rRNA from 1 species
AGAGUUUGAUCAUGGCUCAGAUUGAACGCUGGCGGCAUGCCUUACACAUGCAAGUCGAACGGUAACAGGUCUUCGGAUGCUGACGAGUGGCGAACGGGUGAGUAAUACAUCGGAACGUGCCCAGACGUGGGGGAUAACGAGGCGAAAGCUUUGCUAAUACCGCAUACGAUCUAAGGAUGAAAGCAGGGGACCGCAAGGCCUUGCGCGUUUGGAGCGGCCGAUGGCAGAUUAGGUAGUUGGUGGGAUAAAAGCUUACCAAGCCGACGAUCUGUAGC